rnacentral:rRNA from 1 species
CUGCUCAGAUUGAACGCUGGCGGCAGGUUUAACACAUGCAAGUCGAGCGGGGGAAGGUAGCUUGCUACCGGACCUAGCGGCGGACGGGUGAGUAAUGCUUAGGAAUCUGCCUAUUAGUGGGGGACAACAUCUCGAAAGGGAUGCUAAUACCGCAUACGUCCUACGGGAGAAAGCAGGGGAUCUUCGGACCUUGCGCUAAUAGAUGAGCCUAAGUCGGAUUAGCUAGUUGGUGGGGUAAAGGCCUACCAAGGCGACGAUCUGUAGCGGGUCUGAGAGGAUGAUCCGCCACACUGGGACUGAGACACGGCCCAGACUCCUACGGGAGGCAGCAGUGGGGAAUAUUGGACAAUGGGGGGAACCCUGAUCCAGCCAUGCCGCGUGUGUGAAGAAGGCCUUAUGGUUGUAAAGCACUUUAAGCGAGGAGGAGGCUACUUUAGUUAAUACCUAGAGAUAGUGGACGUUACUCGCAGAAUAAGCACCGGCUAACUCUGUGCCAGCAGCCGCGGUAAUACAGAGGGUGCGAGCGUUAAUCGGAUUUACUGGGCGUAAAGCGUGCGUAGGCGGCUUAUUAAGUCGGAUGUGAAAUCCCCGAGCUUAACUUGGGAAUUGCAUUCGAUACUGGUGAGCUAGAGUAUGGGAGAGGAUGGUAGAAUUCCAGGUGUAGCGGUGAAAUGCGUAGAGAUCUGGAGGAAUACCGAUGGCGAAGGCAGCCAUCUGGCCUAAUACUGACGCUG